AUGAGCCUUAGGAGAAGAGAGGUGCCAUUUCAUCAGCGUGGUUGCCCCGCGGUGGGAGCAAUGGUGUACCACUGGCAGAAGAGGAGGCUGGCAGAUUAUAAAAGGGCAGAACCUUGCUCUGCAGCAGCGAUAGCUCAUCCAAAACCAUCCCUGGACUGUGGCGUGGUGGGUCCAUCUGAACUGGCAGAUCUCACUGGAGCGGGUGCCAGGCCUGGGACCGCGGUGUCUCCCAAGACCCAGUGGGCUUUUGCAGUCUGGGACCAUCGGAAAGCCAUGUCUUCUAAUAAAAACCUGUCUGCCCUUUUCUCAGAGGCAAAACCCUGGAUCCUCUCACUGGCUUCUUUUCUUCUCCCUCCCUCCCCACAGGCAAACAGUCGCCAAGAGCUGAAGCCCCACUUUCCUCACAGCUUCCCCUGCUCCCAGCACUGCCCCCCUCUCUCUAAUCCCUCUUGUGUAGAUUCCAGACUGGCCUUCCUAAAUCCCACGGUACAUGUCUGUCUCCCAGCUGUAAAGAUUCUUGGUAGCCCCUUGUUGAGGCUGGGACAGAAUCUCAAUAACUUAGCCUCACACUUGCGGUCCUCUCUUCAAUCUGACUGUGGCCUUCAUUUCUUCUUCGUCCCCUUCUCCUUCCCUUCCUCCACUGACUCCUGUCCUCCAGUCUGCGAACAAGAAUCUCUCUCUAGAGCCAAAUAUCCACGUGGUGUUUCUGAAGCCUGUGGCUCCCCUUCCCCUGGCUGGCCUGGAAUGCCCUUCCCUCCUGCCUGGGCCUCACUGGCUCCUCUGUGAUCUGCCCCCAGUAAUCAGUCUCCCCUCUGAGCUCUCUCAUCAUGUAUUAUCCAUGCCCUCAUGCAUUCCUUUCAUACCUACUAUAAAAUAAUAAUAAAGUAAUAGCUACUGCUUAUUGAGUACCUCCGUAUCAGGUACACACAGAGUUAUUAACCAAAGCCAUUAGUUUGAUGGAGGGCCAGAGAGAUGAGAGACCAGGAAAGCGUUGGCAGGGCCCCAGCCAUCCAGGCUGUGGCUGGAGAUGGACUUUCUCAGCCUAGAGAAUUCCUUGGGCACAAGAGAGUCAAACACAGGAGGGUCUACUUGAAAUCAUUUGGGGGACCCGAGAUGGGCAAUAUGUGAAGAGGCUAUUUUCUCUGAUGUCGAGAAAGGGCUAGGUUUGGGAUACACUCAGCUGUUGUGACUGGCUGUUGUAACUGCCCCUUGAGAACUACUUCCAUGCUGACCCACAGAGGGUCUAGGACUCUAGCAACAGGGAAAGGAACAGAGGCCAUCACCCCAUCUCUCCUCACUUGGCCCCAUUCCCCUGCCUACACGGCAGGCUCUGAAAAGCAAAGAGCCCUGGAGUCCAGCUGCCUGGCUCUGGCCCCUCCUGCCCCACCUAAGGGUCUGCUCACCCUUCUGGUCCUAUGGGCACACUGCUCCUACGCCCGUUCCUUGAAGCUGAAGUGGGUGAGCUCCUCAGCUGUCCGGGCUGCAAGAUUCUCUCUCUACAGUGUAUAGCCCGUCUUCUGCCUCCAGCAUCUAGCUGUCCCUAGUCCUUUGCUCGAAGUGGUCACUGUGCUUCUUGUCUCAGGGCCCUAGAUUCUCAUCAGCUUGAAGGGACAGGAUGAAGGCACAGGCCCUGGGCUAGUGGCCUGAAUAAGCUUUUAUUUAGGGCUUUGCCUAUUUGUCGAGAUGGCCUAUAUGUCCUUCAAGAUAGGGCUCUGAGUCCUUAACACCAAACAUCCUUAGAGAAAAAAGCAACAACCUGAUUUCCAGAUAGAGCCAGGGGAAUUUUCCCUGAAUAGACCAGGGACCCAAGCCAGAGACACUCAAGAAGGCUGAAGGAGUCUGUCUUGGAGGCAGAGGACAUUCGAAGAGCAGACUUCUGGCCUCAGUGUGGAUGUGGCCCCUUUCAAAUGCCCAGCCUCCUGCCAGCCACCAGGGGCAUCUGCCACUUAUCCGGAAGCUCUGGGAAAGGCAGCGCAUUUGCGGGGGCAUUCGGAAUGCCAUCAGCUUCCCGAAUGGAUGACGUGGAGUUUGCACAUGGCCGUUUCCUUUUUACUCCACGUUUCUGGAGAAAGCCUAAUGGCUUCAAGCGCUCCUCUCUGCUCGUGAAAUUUAAAAGGGGGAACAAGAGCACACAAUUAUGAUCCCACAGCAGGGCAAUUGGCUUGCCUCCGACUAUUAGGUCCCAUUAAAGAUGUAAUAUCUCUGGUGUCUCAGGAGAAAUUCCUACUUAUUUAUGCCUGGUAUUAGGGCAAAUAUUAGUUAGCAUCAAAACAGGAUGCAGUUAAGUCUAAUCUGAUGUCACCAGCAGAGCUUGCCUUAUAAACAAAAUAAGUGGCAAUUACUUUCAAGCUGAACUAAUAAUUUUUCCAAGUGAUUCCAUUCGGUGUUCUUCAGAAAUGUUCACAGAAGGAAGGUGUGUUCUAGGCAAGUGCGCAGGGUGUGCUUCUUAAUCACACUUUAUUUAAAUGUACAAACGAAGGCUGCGGGGCCGGCUCCCCUCUCCUCCUCCCUAGGUUUUCCUGUGGGACAGUAAUUAGGAAAUAUGACCCAAUAUAGGAAAUGAGCAUUGCUGCUUUUAUGGGGAUUUUAAACCAAAUGGCUCUGCUCCGGUGACUGAAGGAGUUGCUCCCAAGAAGCCUGGUGGGCUGCUUCAGGCUGCCUGCAAUUCAGACCUUUUGGAAAAUGGCUCCUUGUUCCUCUGGGAAGACCUUUCUCAAGAGGAAGAGGGGAAUGCCCGGGAGAGGGCCAGGGGGCAGGGCCCUGGGUGAGGAGCAGGCCCAGCACUCAGCCUCGCUGCGCGUGACCAGGCAGGCUCUUCAGGUGGUGGUCUGGGGGCACUCCUCUCUUCCGCACUGAGGUCUUCCUGGCAGCCACUGGCUGUGUGCUCUGCUUUACUUCAGCCUUUAGCAGCUGGGCAUUCUGUACCUUGUCCAGAAGCAGAGUGUCCCUAGCCCAGAACUUUCUCAGCUUGCAACUCUCACCCCCAGCCAAGACUCUCUGUGCCCCGUUAAAUGUGCCCCUUAGUCUGACACCCACACAGCUCUCAGAGGGCUAUACCUAGGCCCUCCGGGGGAUAGGCGGGGCCAUCCAUCCCUCUGUCCUUCUGGGAGAGGCAGCUGCUUUGGGGUCUCACUCAUGGGCAUUAUCUCUGCAGCAGAGAUGGCCCCACCCCCUACACUGGCAGGCACUGGGGGAUUAUGUGCAGGACUGUACCUCCAAUCCCACAGGACCCUGGUUCCUCAUGUUUCCCUGCAACAGCACCAGCCAGGGUUGGCCCGGGCCAUAAGAAAAUCUACCAGAGCUUCAGAUUCACUUCCCCUCCAGGGUUCCACCCUCUCUUCACGUAGCUCCAUCUCAUCACACCCACAAGGGGCACUCUCCACGGAUCAGGUCUGGUGAGGUUCAGUGGCAGAUUCGCAGAAGAAGGAAGCCCAGAUUCUACCCACACAGAACCUGCACUUCCAGGUUAGAGAAAUGGUAACAGAUAAUUAACUGAAGACACCCAGGCUGAGAUGAGUACCAUGUGGUAGGUAGAAAGUGGUCUAGAGAGGCAAUCACGUCCAUUUGGGAAGAUGAAGGAAACCUUCAGGAAGGAGGCAGAAUUUGCGAUCUUAAAGGUCAGAUACAGUUCCCCUUCGAGGAGCCGGUUUCCAGGGAUGAUAUUCCAAGCAGAAGAAGCUGCAGGAGGCAAGACGUGGAGCUGGGACAUGAGGGGCCCUUAGACAAUGCCAGGUUGGGGGCCAAAUUAGUUACAUUUCUUUUAUUGAAGCAACAGAAACCACCGACUGGCUGUGGAGGCUGAGUGGGACAGAUCAGCGUGCCAGCCGUCAUGGGAGAAGGGUUGGGGUACAGCAACACAGGUGUCUGCGUGGGACAGAGGUCUGGGGUGGCAGUUGGUCCUCCAGGCCACUGCCUUGAGCGCCUCUGAGCUGUCAAGGGUCAGCUUGACACCAGCUGCUACCCUGCCAGAACCCGCCAAUGGCUCCUCAUCGUGCCCAGGGGAAGUCCAAAUGCCUCUGCUUAGCACAUCCUGAAAGUCUCUCCCUGAGCUGCACUUUCCCCUUCCACCUGCUAUUACCUUUUAGAAAUAAUUUCCUCUGACUCUGGCAGACCCUGCUUGGGAGCUGAGGUAGGCAGGUCAGCUAAGCUCCCUACAAAUCGCCACAUUCCAGGAGCACAGAGCUGACACCCCGCCGCAACCUUGCUUCCCUGGUCUGUGGGUAGGCACCUGACCGACUGUGCCUAAUCACAUUUGUUCUAGGAACCUGGAGAAGGGCAGAGGCUGGGUCCCACGGGAGGGCCAGUGAGGCCUGGCUGAAGUCACAGAUGCCACUACCGUGCACUCUCCUGCUUCCUGUUUCUUGGUUGGUCAUGUCUUUCUCAGAUUCCCUGAGAUAUGUGUGCGUGUAUAGCUACAGAUUCCCUCUGUAUUACUUGAAAAUAAGUAUUUACAUGCGAAUCACUUCACCCUAAACACUCUGCAAGGUAGCUUCCAAGAAUGAGCCUAGGGCAAUCUCAGGGAGUGGAGGAGGACUGGGGUCCAGGUAAACGCUUGGACGCAGGAGGUGUCUCGUGGUUGCCAAUCACUGAGCCCCUGCUCGCUUGCCUGUGAAGUGGGCUCCGUAUGUGUCCCCUGACGUGCAGAGUGUCACGGGACUCUGCUGUUAAUCUGACUGACCCGUAGAAGCUGGCCACACUAGAGCCACUGGCUGCCAGAUCCCAGCCUCACCAACCUGCCUCUGCAGCCCAGAGGUGGGAGGCAGAAUGUCACUGAGAGGGCAAGGUCCAGUCCUAGCAAAGAAAGGGGGUGGCCUUGUUAGGUUAAGAAAUAUGCCCAGAAACAAAUCUUGUAAGAAGUUCCGUCUACAGGCACACACGUUUGGAAGCAUUUUGCCUGCCACGUGGGUUGGUAGAAAUAGAAUGUAAUGAAACAGCAGAGAUCAGUGGAUCUUCACGAAUGCAUCACAGUCAGCAGGAAGAAUGUGUCUUGGUCAGCAAGACAGCAGGAGAUACAGGGCUGAAAAACAGGAAGGGUCGCCGCAGAGCUGAUACUCUCCCCCCGCCCCGUGGGAGGCCCCGCGGGGGGGG
rnacentral:lncRNA from 1 species